rnacentral:rRNA from 1 species
AGCCUAGCGCUAAGGCUUAAUGUGGUUGUCGCAAGGCAAUCAAUACACAGCAUUAAGCGGUGCAGCGUUACAAACUCUGGUGUUUAGUAGUGUCGAUGUAGUGUAUAUUGGGCAACUGAUAUAUGCUGCUUUCGGCCUAGCGUACAAGUCCCAUUGACUUGGGCUUAUUCUUAAUUGAGAUGUCUACGGGUUUGGGGCAACUUGGAUCCGUGGAUGAGCCAUAGAGGGUGAAAGUCCCUUAAUGCGCAGGUAUUGAUGCUACGAAUCAGAGCAGUGGCGUCUGGUAAAACAGGCGUUGCGGUUUGUUAGAGUCGGGUUGCUUGAGAGUGCAACCUAAAGAGCGAGGUAAACUGCUCGUAAGGCUAUGUAAAUACGGCUACGACACCGAUAGCAAACAAGUACCGUGAGGGAAAGUUGCAAAGUACUUUGAAGAGAGAGUUAAACAGGGCGUGAAACCGCUAGCUGGUAAACGAGUGGAGCCACGAAGUCGUUUCGUAGAAUACAAGACGCAAAUUCAGCUAAAGUCUAUCCAGGUUUUAGCGUAUUUUUGCUUGUCUUGCUACUGUAAUCGUACACUGCAACCAAUUAGACGGCCAAUCGUGGAAACAGUUUGCAUGUUGACAGGGAAACUUGUUGCUUGUAGGCGCCAAAAUUUGUGUAUUUACUGUAGGUAGCCUGGUUGGAGUCUUGUAUUUCAUCCGGGUGUAUGACAUUCGUGAAUGCGUGAACUACGAUUGGGUACUGAUUGGCAAAAUGAAAUUCGAAUCGCAAGAUUCGUGUAUUCAUAGAAAGCGGCUGGCAUCGUAUUUGGGUACAAUUGCUCGCUGCUAGUAUAAGCUUAGUAUUUUUGAAUUCAGGCACGUAUAUUGUCAGUGGGCUUGCUCGUUGAUAUAUGCGCUGUUUCCUGUCUAAUCGGGUAUUAACUUUGCUGGUGGUUUGUUGUAAUUGCUGCGAUAGCACCGAAUGCGAGAGUUAGUCUGCAAGUAUUGGCAGUGAGUAGGUCGGCUUUCCACACGACCCGUCUUGAAACACGGACCAAGGAGUCUAGUUAAGUAUCGAGUCGAUCGGUCUUGAUUAGGCCAGACAUCGGAAGCUUGCGUUCCGAAAAUACAAUAAAUGACGGCAAAGUGAAAUCAAAUCAUAUGUGAUCUGAGGUCUAUAAAAACGGCCUACAGCGCAACAUAUGCCCACUCGUAUGGUUAUACGCGCAAGUGUUAACCGGGUGGAGCAAAGAGAUACUUGACUGGUACCCGAAAGAUGGUGAACUAUUCCUGGCCAGAUUGAAGCCAGAGGAAACUCUGGUGGAGGAUUGUAGCGAUUCUGACGUGCAAAUCGAUCGUCAGAGCUGGGUAUAGGGGCGAAAGACUAAUCGAACCAUCUAGUAGCUGGUUCCCUCCGAAGUUUCCCUCAGGAUAGCAAGCUCUCGCAUAAAUGUGAAUCAGUUUCAUCUGGUAAAGCGAAUGAUUAGAGGCCUUGGGAGCGAAACGCUCUCAACCUAUUCUCAAACUUUAAAUGGGUGAGAUGUACGACGUACUUAACUGACGCCGUAUUCAUACAGAAUGUAUUGAGAGCUUAGUGGGCCAUUUUUGGUAAGCAGAACUGGCGAUGCGGGAUGAACCGAAAGUGAAGUUAAAGUUGCCGAUAAUGGUGCUUACAAUUUGUGCACUAGCUACACUCAUGAGAUCCCAUGAAAGGUGUAAGUUGCUAAAGACAGCAAGGACGUGGCCAUGGAAGUCGGAAACAUCUAAGGAGUGUGUAACAACUCACUUGCCGAAGCAACUUGCCCUGAAAAUGGAAGCAGCUCGAGUGUUGAACUUAUACUUCACCGUUGAAUCAUCGUUCGUAUAAAAAGCGAUUAGUUAUGAUUCAACGUGUAGGAGGGUUGUGUUGGUAGCGUUGAAGGCUAUGAGGGAGUGAUCCUGGCUGGAGCUGCCAAUAGUACAGAUCUUGGUGGUAGUAGCAAAUACUCAAGUGAGACCCUUGAGGGCCAAUGUGGAGAAGGGUUCCAUGCUAACAGCAAUUGGACAUGGGUCAGUCGGUCCUAAGAGAAUGGCGAAAGCUAUUUCUGAAUCAAAGGCAGUGUAAUCAAAACACAAAAAAUACUAUUUAGUCAACUGAGUUUAUACACGCACAUGUUUGUGCGUGCGACACAGAAGCGGAAAUUUGACUGGUAUGUAUGUCUAGUUUUCAUACAUAAACAAACGCGCAACAAGAAUUGAUAGCUAAAAGCAACCAUGAGAUGUGUGUAAAAACACAGAUGUUGGUUCGCGCAAAACAGCUUCAAACACAAAUGUGCGGAGUGUAUGAACGACGUUCGAAAACAUGCUUACAAUAUAAAGGGUUGAACCCGUGUGUGUGUGUGCACAGCGCGCGUGUGUAAACACAAAAUCAUUGGCAAAAUGAGUGUAAAUGAACACUGCAUGACUCGAAAGGGAAAUUAGGGUUAAUAUUCCUAAACCAAGAUGGGGAGAUUGCUAAUUGUGCGGUUAUUCACUUAGCU